rnacentral:rRNA from 1 species
AUUGAACGCUGGCGGCAUGCUUUACACAUGCAAGUCGAACGGCAGCGCGGGCUUCGGCCUGGCGGCGAGUGGCGAACGGGUGAGUAAUACAUCGGAACGUGCCCAGUAGUGGGGGAUAGCUCGGCGAAAUCCGGAUUAAUACCGCAUACGACCUGAGGGUGAAAGCGGGGGAUCUUCGGACCUCGCGCUAUUGGAGCGGCCGAUGGCAGAUUAGCUCGUUGGUGGGGUAAAGGCCUACCAAGGCGACGAUCUGUAGCUGGUCUGAGAGGAGGACCAGCCACACUGGGACUGAGACACGGCCCAGACUCCUACGGGAGGCAGCAGUGGGGAAUUUUGGAAAAUGGGCGAAAGCCUGAUCCAGCAAUGCCGCGUGUGUGAUGAAGGCCUUCGGGUUGUAAAGCACUUUUGGCGGGAACGAAAAGGACUGUGCCAAUACCACGGUUCGAUGACGGUACCCGCAGAAUAAGCACCGGCUAACUACGUG